rnacentral:rRNA from 1 species
UGGGUUUGAUCCUGGCUCCAAGUGAAGGCUAUAAGUCUGCCUUAACACAUGCGAGUCGAAUGGAUAAGUUCCAUGGCGUACGGGUGAGGAUAAAAUGCUUUUCUUCUACCCUCAACUUCAAAAUAAUUCCCCCUUUGAUAAAGCUUGGAAAAAUAAUGAAUAAUCAAAAAAGGUCCGCCGGUUGAGGAUGAUAGCAUUUAGUAUUAGGUUGUUGAGUCUUAACAAGCCGUCGAUGCUUAAUUGAUCUGAGAGGAUGAUCAAUCACACUGGGACUGAGACAAGGCCCAGGUUUCUUUUGAGGGCUGCAGUGAGGAAUAUUGGACAAUGAGCGAAAGCUUGAUCCAGCAAGACUUGGUGAGGGAUUGAAGGCAGCCGUUGUAAACCUCUUUUUUAAUUAAAGAUGAUGACGAUAAAUUAAGAAUAAGUCCCGACCAACUUCGUGCCAGCAGUCGCGGUAAUACGGAGGGGGCAAGCCUUAUUUGUCUUAACUGGGCGUAAAGGGUUCGUAGACAGUUACUGGGUGUCGUUGGCUAAAUAUUUCGUUUGAAGCGAUAAACAGCUAACUACAGAUUUAACUUGAGUACAAAAAAAGAAGAUAGUAUUUUUUAAUAAGGGGUAAAAUCCGUUGAAGUAAAAAGGAAUAUCGCAAGCGAAGGCAAUCUUCUAGUUUGUUACUGACGUUCAGGGACGAAAGCGUGGGGAGCAAACAGGAUUUGAGACCCUGGUAGUCCACGCUGUAAAUAAUGGAUGCUAACUUUUGGGAAAUCUUUGGAAACAGCUAACGCGUUAAGCAUUCCGCCUGAAAAGUACAAGCGCAAGCUUAAAAAUCAACGGAAUUGGCGGGGGUUUACACAAGUGGUGGAGCAUGUGGUUUAAUGCGAUAAUACGCGCGUAACCUUACCAGUUCUUGUAAGUUUGUCAUUGUUAUGGAGACAUAAUAAAUUUUGAAACUUUCAGGUGUUGCAUGGCCGUCGUCAGUCCGUGUUGUGAGAUGUCAGGUUAAUUCCUUUAACGGACGAAACCCUCAUUAACCAAAAUCUUUGACUUUUUAAAUAUUUAAAAAGUCAAGUAAGGUUAAAACUGCUAUCUUUUUGGUAGAGGAAGGUGGGGAUGAGGUCAGGUCUUCAUGGCCCUUAUGAACUGGGCUACACACGUGCUACAAUGGAAAAGGCAAAAAGUUGCAAUAAUGAAAGUUAAAGCUAAUCUAAAAAUUUUUCCUUAGUUCGGAUUGAAGGCUGCAACUCGCUUUCAUAAAGUCGGAAUCACUAGUAAUCGCGUAUCAGGACGUCGCGGUGAAUAAGUCAAUGGACCUUGCACACACCGCCCGUCACGUCCUGGGAGUUAAUUUCAUUUAAAGAUACGUAAAACAAUUGACUGCAGUUUUAUACU